rnacentral:lncRNA from 1 species
GCUAAGGGUCAGCAGCAACACACUGCACUCCUGACUCCUGCUCUGAUACUUGCCUCACUGGAACCGUCAUCCCCUCUCAUGUGGCAAAUGCAGCUGGGUGACAAAACUGAGGCUCAGAGGCCAAUGGCCUUGUUCAAGGUCACACGCCCACUAAAUGAGAGACCCGGAGACCUGGCAUCACACGCUAACUAAGAAUACUGGAAGGAGAUAAGAUUGGGACUGAAAGACCUGGAUUGAAUGAUUUUUAUCAAGUCACUUCCCUUCCUUGGAUCUCCAUUUACUCAUCAAUAAACUAAGCAGAUUGGAUUAAAUGUUCUGUAAGGUGCCUUCUAGGUGAGGAAGAAGUUGGGAUAAGUCAUAAGGAAGCACCCCAAUGAACAUCUCCUGCCUCUAUGGUUUUUCUGACAUCCAUCAACAUCUGUCAGAAUUUGAAAAUGUGACUGCUUUUAGGCACUGUGCUUAGUGCUGGAGAUUCCGUGUUGAAGCUCACAGUCUGGGGCAGAGAUGGAAACAGACACAAAUAACUAUAAUACAAUGUGGUAAGUGCUGUAAUAUAGGUACUGUAUGCUCAGAGUGCUACGGGAACUCAGGAGGGAGCUUAUGAAAUAAUUUAGUUAAUGUUCCAAUGUCUAAAUGUGAAUGUUUAAAUAACGUCUUUCUUUCCUCAGUGCUUCCUGCUUUGCAUGGCAUUUUUUACUGUUUUUUAUCUUAUUUGCUGAUUCUAGCGAUCCCGUUAAUAAGUUUUCACUCCACAAACUCACCCUUAUACAGAGUAGGUGCUCAAGAAACAUCUCCCAAAAGACAGAAUAAGUGAAUGGAUAGUCGAUGUUAUUAGCUUUUGUUGACAAUUAG